rnacentral:rRNA from 1 species
GACGACGCUGGCGGCGUGCUUAACACAUGCAAGUCGAACGAGUGGCGAACGGGUGAGUAAUGUCUGGGAAACUGCCCGAUGGCGGGGGAUAACUACUGGAAACGGUAGCUAAUACCGCAUACCAUCGGAUGUGCCCAGAUGGGAUUAGCUAGUAGGUGGGGUAACGGCUCACCUAGGCGACGAUCCCUAGCUGGUCUGAGCGGAUGACCAGCGACACUGGAAAGGAUACACGGUCCAGAAUCCGACGGUAGGCAGCAGUGGGGAAUAUUGCACAAGGGGCGCAAGCCUGAUGCAGCCAUGCCGCGUGUAUGAAGAAGGCCUUCGGGUUGUAAAGUACUUUCAGCGAGGAGGCGUUACUCGCAGAAGAAGCACCGGCUAACUCCGUGCCAGCAGCCGCGGUAAUUC